rnacentral:rRNA from 1 species
AAUGAACGCUGGCGGCGUGCUCAACACAUGCAAGUCGAGCGAGGCCAGGGGGGCAACUCCCUGAGUCGAGCGGCGGACGGGUGAGUAACACGUGGGUAACCUACCCGGAAGUGGGGAAUACCUCGGGGAAACUCGAGCUAAUACCGCAUGACAUCUUUGGGACGAAAGUCCUGACGAUCAAAGCGGGGUCGCAAGAUCUCGCGCUACCGGAUGGGCCCGCGCCCGAUUAGCUAGUUGGUGAGGUAACGGCUCACCAAGGCGACGAUCGGUAACCGGCCUGAGAGGGCGAUCGGUCACACCGGAACUGAGACACGGUCCGGACUCCUACGGGAGGCAGCAGUGGGGAAUCUUGCGCAAUGGGCGAAAGCCUGACGCAGCAACGCCGCGUGGAGGAUGAAGGCCCUUGGGUUGUAAACUCCUGUCGGCUGGGAAGAAGUUGUUCGCGACUAAUACUCGCGGACAUUGACUGUACCAGCAAAGGAAG